UACAGAGGUGGCAAGCGUUGUUCGGAAUUACUGGGCGUAAAGGGCGCGUAGGCGGUCCGAUAAGUCCUGUGUGAAAUCCCUCGGCUCAACUGAGGAACUGCACGGGAGACUGUCGGGCUUGAGUUCGGGAGAGGGAAGCGGAAUUCCUGGUGUAGCGGUGAAAUGCGCAGAUAUCAGGAGGAACACCGGUGGCGAAGGCGGUUCUCUGGGCAUGACCUGACGCUGAGGAGCGAAAGUGUGGGGAGCGAACAGG
rnacentral:rRNA from 1 species